rfam:Rattus norvegicus chromosome X, whole genome shotgun sequence.
UUACCAAAGUGCCUCCCACAGUUGUCCAUGAAAACAAUGAUUCAUCUUGGCGUGUUGCUGAAAUCUGAGCAGAAAACCUCAGGGUAAAUAAGGGUCAGAUCUGACAAAUGACAAAAUUCUGACUUCCCAGC